rnacentral:rRNA from 1 species
GUGUCAGCCGCCGCGGUAAUACGGAGGGUGCGAGCGUUAAUCGGAAUUACUGGGCGUAAAGCGUGCGUAGGCGGUUAGCUAAGUCAGAUGUGAAAGCCCCGGGCUUAACCUGGGAACUGCAUUUGAUACUGGGUAACUAGAGUUUAGUAGAGGAAAGUGGAAUUUCAGGUGUAGCGGUGAAAUGCGUAGAGAUCUGAAGGAACACCAGUGGCGAAGGCGACUUUCUGGACUAAAACUGACGCUGAGGUACGAAAGCGUGGGUAGCAAACAGGAUUAGAAACCCCUGUAGUCC